CCGUGCUCUUGUGGAGCUCUGUACCCAGCUGACGGUCUCCUUUUCUGGGCUUAACGUCACUGCCACAGCCGCUAAUAAGACUGCAACCUCACAUCCGUCUGUACCCGGGGUCCAGUCGCUGUCUGUUGGCUACGCCCGCUGAACAGAAGCAGGGGAACAAUUUUGGCAAGGGGGGGGAGAUUGUCGGUACUACUACUUCCAGACGUGUUAUACAGCUUCUCCACACACUGUACAGUAAGAACAUUACACUUUAUGGUUGCUUGCCAGUUUGUAAGAAAGUGGGAAUUAUCUUACUGUCCAACAUAUCAUAACCUUGAACACUGGGUCCCAAUCCAACAAUUCAGGCUAUACAGGUUGUUUUGCCAAAGUUAAAUUGCAUGUAUGACAAAGUCAAACUUUUCUGGCAUAUAUCAUGGAUCCAGCAUUAUUAUGAAUCAUACAUAACUUCUAGGCAAGACCCACCCUAUGAUGCAGCUCAAUUGGUUGGGGUUAGGCAUUGACCUUGAGUGGUUAAGGUCAGGUUAGCCGACUGGUCAGGGGAUAGGACCUGAAUAAAUCAGGUUAUGUUACCCUGUGUGAGCAUCGACGCCUGGCCAAUAGUAGUGUGUGAAUGCUAUUGAAUGCGUGGGUUCCAUAAUGAAGCAUGGAUCCUACAUUAGCAGUUAGCAUGUAUUAGCAUGGCGGCGUUAGUAGCAGUCAGGAUCACAACACCGGCUAUGUCUAAAUUUGUCUAAAACGCAGGGUUUGUAUAUCUGGCAACCUGGCCCGGCUGUCAAACUGGGCAGAUCAAAACACAAACAGACAUUCCGUCAUGGAACGGAAAUUUCAAAAGGAGAAAAUACUGGCAUUAGCAUUGUUGUCUGAAAACAUACUAUUUCAGCUUAACAUGUUUCCUUAAUAUCUGACAAAAUCAGACAAAAUAUGGCAAAUGGAAUCAUUGAUGUCCUGUCUGCUGCUGAAAUGUCUGUAGUUUCCUUUUGUGACAGUGUGCAUAGCUUCUUCAAUGUAAUCUUAAUGUUUUAAAGAAAGUUGCUCUAAUUUUUGCAACCGUCUUGAUUUCAAAUGUUGCCUCUCUGCAGUUUGUUCCAGGAUUGACAUACAAGUAAUCAUUGCAUUUACAUCUGAAUCAAACAAGCUGAAAACUCUGGUUUAAAUACUCAUUUUGUCACACUUUAAGAUAAAUGCAUGCGUAUUACGAUGUGUUGAGAAGCCACAUUCAGCUGCAGUGCAGCAAGAGCAGUUCCGCUUGAUUCCUGAGAGCAGUGUGCAUCAGCCGAGUGGGAUAUGAAAAUUGCUUAUGCCCCUUGUUGACAGCGGAGGCACCCGCACAGAUCAUUAUAUCCAUCAACAUGCAACCAAAAUUAAGUUAAUUCAACUGUUGUACCGAAACAGUUAUUGCUUCAAAGUGAAGUGCCUGCUUGUGAGUCCUUGAUAAAACAAUCGUGGUGGUUCUAUCCUGCAUGGAGUUAAACAAACUGCAUGUUUUCACAAUGCCAUCUCUUUUUGUUUUUAAUGCCCCACACUGGGUGCAGGAAUAUGAGGGUUGCAUUUCAUAAACAGAGGAGUAUACCGAACAUUGUAGGUACAUCUCCGCCGUCAUUUCCCAGGGUCACUUUGCAAAACUGAGCACAAGCCAUAGCCAUUCAUCAGCUUGAGAUAAUGAGAGCACACAAGGUGCACAGUAAAGACACAGCCACUAACAGUUUAUUACAGGACAGACACAAAGGCAUGCUCCUGCCUGGGAAACCUUCAGCUCGCUCCCUGCCCGAAGGACGCCUCAUGUUAAAUAAUACUUGUUUUAAAAAACCUGGUCCUCGGCAGCAGAAUGUGGCAGUGAGCAAGGGAAAACACAACAGAUAGCAUGUGUAGAGGCUUUGGGCAAAAAAACUUAAAUAUCACUCAGCGCUACACCUUAGUUUUCUCUGUGGCUAAUUCCACAUUUUUGAAUUGUGCAGAGAAUUGUGGUAUUUCCUAAGAGUACAUCCUUUAUACCUCCAUUCAAGCACUUCAAAGCAGCGAUGUCAGGUUGCUCCAACAAUGACAGGAGCUCAUUUGGGACUGUUGGGCUUUGUUUGUGUGAGUUAAAAUGUUAAAGCUACAUCUGGAUUGGUUCACCUUGCUUGCAGGAGUAAAUAUAUAUUUAUAUGUAUACUUAUAUAUAUUCAUUGCUUUUUAAUAAAGGUCUAAAUUGGACUGCACAAUAUGAGGAAAAUUUUGGAUAUGCGAUAAAAUGGAAUAUUGCGCUAAUAAUAUCACUUGCACUUGAUAAAUAAACAGAUAUUAGAGGGUACUCAGUUCUGCCAUUCUGCUGCUGUCAGUAUUCUGCUAACAUACAACUAAUUGCUUGUUGAAUU